GUUUGAUCCUGGCUCAGGACGAACGCUGGCGGCGCGCCUAACACAUGCAAGUCGAACGAGCGAGAGAGAGCUUGCUUUCUUGAGCGAGUGGCGAACGGGCGAGUAACGCGUGAGGAACCUGCCUCAAAGAGGGGGACAACAGUUGGAAACGACUGCUAAUACCGCAUAAGCCCACAGGUCGGCAUCGACCAGAGGGAAAAGGAGCAAUCCGCUUUGAGAUGGCCUCGCGUCCGAUUAGCUAGUUGGUGAGGUAAUGGCCCACCAAGGCAACGAUCGGUAGCCGGACUGAGAGGUUGAACGGCCACAUUGGGACUGAGACACGGCCCAGACUCCUACGGGAGGCAGCAGUGGGGAAUAUUGCACAAUGGGGGAAACCCUGAUGCAGCGACGCCGCGUGGAGGAAGAAGGUCUUCGGAUUGUAAACUCCUGUUGUUGAGGAAGAUAAUGACGGUACUCAACAAGGAAGUGACGGCUAACUACGUGCCAGCAGCCGCGGUAAAACGUAGGUCACAAGCGUUGUCCGGAAUUACUGGGUGUAAAGGGAGCGCAGGCGGGAAGACAAGUUGGAAGUGAAAUCUAUGGGCUCAACCCAUAAACUGCUUCAAAA
rnacentral:rRNA from 1 species